AUUGAACGCUGGCGGCAGGCCUAACACAUGCAAGUCGAACGCGUGGCGUACGGGUGAGUAAUGUCUGGGAAACUGCCUUAUGGAGGGGGAUAACUACUGGAAACGGUAUCUAAUACCGCAUACCAUCGGAUGUUCCCCGCUGGGAGUAGCUAGUAGGUGGGGUAAAGGCUCACGUAGGCGACGAUCCCUAGCUGGUCUGAGAGGAUGACCAGCAACACUGGAACUGAGAGAGGGUCCAGACGCCUACGGGAGGCAGCAGUGGGGAAUAUUGCACAAUGGGCGCAAGCCGGAUGCAGCCAUGCCGCGUGUAUGAAGAAGGCCGUAGGGUUGUAAAGUACUUUCAGCGGGGAGGCGUUACCCGCAGAAGAAGCACCGGCUAACUCCGUGCCAGCAGCCGCGGUAAUAC
rnacentral:rRNA from 1 species